CCCGCCUGCCUGUGACCAUGAGUUUAACGGCCGCGGUAUUUUGACCGUGCAAAGGUAGCGCAAUCACUUGUCUUUUAAAUGAAGACCCGUAUGAAUGGCAUAACGAGGGCUUAACUGUCUCCCUUUUCCAGUCAAUGAAAUUGAUCUCCCCGUGCAGAAGCGGGGAUCCCCACAUAAGACGAGAAGACCCUAUGGAGCUUUAGACAAAAGACAGCCCAUGUCAAACACCCCUAAACAAAGGACAAAACUAAUUGGCCCCUGUCCUAAUGUCUUUGGUUGGGGCGACCGCGGGGAAACAAAAAACCCCCAUGUGGACUGAAGGCACCCUUCUUCACAACCAAGAGCCACAGCUCUAAGUAACAGAACAUCUGACCAACAAGAUCCGGAAUAAUAACCGAUCAACGGACCGAGUUACCCUAGGGAUAACAGCGCAAUCUCCUUCUAGAGCCCAUAUCGACAAGGAGGUUUACGACCUCGAUGUUGGAUCAGGACAUCCUAAUGGUGCAGCCGCUAUUAAGGGUUCGUUUGUUCAACGAUUAAAGUCCUACGUGAUCUGAG
rnacentral:rRNA from 1 species